GGGGCUUCGAGCCCCUUGAAGGGUCGUUCAAGACCAGGACGUUGAUAGGUCAGGUGUGGAAGCGCAGUAAUGCGUUAAGCUAACUGAUACUAAUUGCCCGUAAGGCUUGAUCCUAUAACAGGUGUGUUUC
rnacentral:rRNA from 1 species